rnacentral:rRNA from 1 species
CUACGGGCUGCAGCAGUGAGGAAUAUUGCACAAUGGGGGGAACCCUGAUGCAGCAACGCCGCGUGGAGGAUGACGCAUUUCGGUGUGUAAACUCCUUUUAUAUGUCAAGAAAAUGACGGUAGCAUAUGAAUAAGCACCGGCUAACUCCGUGCCAGCAGCCGCGGUAAUACGGAGGGUGCAAGCGUUACUCGGAAUCACUGGGCGUAAAGGACGCGUAGGCGGGAUAUCAAGUCAGGUGUGAAAUCCUACAGCUUAACUGUAGAACUGCACUUGAAACUGGUAACCUAGAGUAUGGGAGGGGGAGAUGGAAUUAGUGGUGUAGGGGUAAAAUCCGUAGAUAUCACUAGGAAUACCUAAAGCGAAGGCGAUCUCCUGGAACAUAACUGACGCUAAGGCGUGAAAGCGUGGGGAGCAAACAGGAUUAGAUACCCGGGUAGUC